UACAGAGGCCUCGAGCGUUGUUCGGAAUUACUGGGCGUAAAGGGAGUGUAGGUGGUGACGUAAGUCAGAUGUGAAAGCCCUGGGCUUAACCCGGGAAGUGCAUUUGAUACUGCGUCGCUGGAGUACGAGAGAGGAAAGUGGAAUUUUCAGUGUAGGGGUGAAAUGCGUAGAUAUCGGGAGGAACACCAGUGGCGAAGGCGACUACCUGGCCUGUUCUUGACGCUGAGGCGCGAAAGCUAGGGGAGCAAACGGG
rnacentral:rRNA from 1 species